rnacentral:rRNA from 1 species
UGGUGGAGUGAUUUGUCCGGUUAAUUCCGUUAACGAACGAGACCUUAGCCUGCUAAAUAGUUACGUGUAGCUUCGGUUAUGCGGGCAACUUCUUAGAGGGACUUUGUGUGUCUAACGCAAGGAAGUUUGAGGCAAUAACA